AGCCGCCAUCAGCAAAGGAAAAAGAAGAGGAGCCGUGCGCCUCCUCUUGGCCUUCACCCUUGGUUCCAACGCAGGAAAAUCAAAAGGCUGCAACUAGCCUUUUGAUUCUUCUCCCUGGAGUCUUCCUCUUCUUCAUCCUCCCUCUGACAUUCAAGAGUUGAUUGAGAAGGAGGUGAUCAGCCAUCAAAACAAAUCUCUGCAAGGGAGCUAGCACCCCGAGGAGAUUAGAGUGUUUGGAUUGGUCCUCUGCUUCGUGUGGAUACCCGUAGAUGCCGGACGCGUGUGCGGCUUCAAGCGAACCUUCUUCCAAAACUACGAACUUCAGUUUGCGGUGAUCAUCUACCCGCACAAGGUGAAGAUCUGGUCUUCCUAAUUGUUUAAAAAGUUUUAAUCCUAAUCCAUCUACGAAUGAUUUUUGAAAUAACGUUCAUGAGAUGAACGUAUGACCCCGUGCAUGCCUCUUCCGCUGCAUCUGAAAAAUUUUUAAUUUUCUG
rnacentral:lncRNA from 1 species